CCUUAACGAGAAUCUGAUAUGGUUCCAGUCAGACCAGAGGGAAAAGACGCUAAUACAGCUUCGCAACC
rnacentral:pre_miRNA from 1 species